UCGGGGCGGCUCCUCCCCCGCGGCGGCGGCGUCAGCGGAAGCCCCUCUCCCUCCCCCCGCGGCGGCGGCGCGGCGGGGCCGGGCCGGGCUAUUUAUGGGCGGCGCUGCCGUCACGGAGCGCUGCGGCGCUGACGGGCCGUGACGCGCCUGGCGGCGGCGGCGCGGAGGGGGGCGCGGAGCGGCGGCGGCGGCGCCAGAUACAGUGCUUCUAAACCUUGCAUUUUAGCGUCAAAACACUUGUGAUUCACCCUUGUGUCCUUCAAGCCACCGACUGAGGAGAGUGGGAGUAGCGGUUACACGACGGCAUGCGUGCCUGUGCUCCGUCUGGGAAAGCAGCGGAUUCGGCAUCCGAGUGUGCGGGAAUACGGUGACAAACCCUGCGGGUCACGGACGCCCCGUCCUGUCCUUGUGCCCUUCACCGUGUUACCACCGCAGCUGCUGGUUUAUCCUUCACCUCAGUGCAUUAAAUCAUUUAGGAUGUUGUCUCAUUUUGAUGUGACUGCUACUGCAGUCAGUAAUCUAAACUUUUUUUAGGGGAUCUAGAUAUUACAUAUGCCUCUGGCUCAUUAGUACCACAGUGUUUCUGUGUGUAAUGUGCUGGAGAGGGAUUUUAUACCUUCUUAGAUUUACUAAUAAAAGUGUAUAUAUGUUUAUCUUUUAAGUAUUGCAACUCCAUGGCAGCUCAGCCUGUCAGGUUAUUCAUUCACUUGUUCAAAUCUCACAUUCAUACACAGUUUUGGGUUUACUUCUUAAGUGAGACUAACAUGUAAAUAAAGUGUAAAGGGCACUUCAUAUUUAAUACUUUAGUGGAAGACUGACAGUUCUUUUUAAUUAAAUGUGUUCUUUGUGCUCCUGUAUUUAGAUACCAAAAUACAGCAUUUCACCACAUGUGUAAAAUUGUGUUUGCAUUUAUUUAAUUUAGAGUUCUUUUUUUAAAAGCAUGUAGUCUUGAAUGUUUGUUCUCCAUUUUUUUUUUCACAUCAUUACUCUGAUACUGCUUGAUUAGCUCCCUCCCCAGUCAUGAUUGGUAAUUAAAAUAGGCAUUAAAAUUAGUCACUUAGCAAUUUUGCUGUUCAAUUGGCAAUUAAAUUACUUAAUUGCAAUUAAAGUCCUAAUUUUAAUUGGCAAAAUGAUAGAUGUAGAUUUAAGAUAAUAUGUAUAAAUACUUUAAUAAGUGUCUAUAUAAGGAUUACUUAAUUACUCAACUUCAAGUUUAUGCUGUUAACUUUAGAACUUUUAAGUGAGUAAUGAAAUUUAUAUUGCAUCUAUUCUAAGGAUAUGGUAAUUAGAUGUGUUACUUAUCACUAUAAGGGCCUGUGCUGUGCGUUUCCUCUGUAACGUUGGCGCUGUGGCCUGGGCUAGCUGUUGUGCUGUGAUUAACGCUGAUCUUUGCGUGACAGUGAGCGAGCAGUGAGCGGUUCAAGCGCCGGGCUGGCCCGCAGGCUUCCUCCAGCGCCCGCGCAGCGGUGUGCCCCGGCCGGGACAGCGCGGCGGCUGCGGAGAGCUGCGCGUCUCCAGCACGCGUACGUGCAUGCGCUGGAUUGCAGCAGAGGAUUCAACGUGAAGGAAAGCAGGAAUUAUGCAGAGUUGCACUUGGAAAAAGAGUCCGCUGCGGAAGAGGCCGAAUGGUUUCUGUGAAAUCACCGCUUCUGAUAGCCCGUCCCUGAUCGCUGCCUCCGUGGCAGCGUGCUGUGGCACCGCAGCACAGGCAGGGGAUGUCACACUGACUCGGUCACAUUCCUGACAGCUUUCAGUGUGCUGUGCACUUAAUGUCACCACAGCAGUUGGGGUCUAAUCCCGCCAGGGCUUCCCGCGGGUGCUGUCUCCCCUUCGCGGUCUGUGCUGGCCCGGAUGCCGCGGAGCAGAGGGGCGUGCGCAUUGUCAGGCACCCCGUGAAGCUGCUCUCGCUGUGUGAUGUGGAAGUUCCCGCGAUGAGCAGUGCGCUGUGCGUGCAGGUGUGAGAAACAGACACAAUAAAACGUUGCCGAGUGGA